UCUCCUACGGGAGGCAGCAGUGAGGAAUAUUGGUCAAUGGGCGAAAGCCUGAACCAGCCAAGUCGCGUGAAGGACGACGGUUCUAUGGAUUGUAAACUUCUUUUGUACAGGAUUAAAAGCUUCUACGUGUAGNGAAUGCAGU
rnacentral:rRNA from 1 species